CAAUGCGUAACCUGACAUUUCAUCUUCAGACGACCAGCAGGUGGGGCAUGUUUGAUGUGCAUCGAACAACAUCAUCCUAUACAAACACGAGAGAGAACCAGGCCUGGGCAUAUCGGGAAACCAGGGGCUCGUCCAGUUUCCCCCUAGUCGUUAGCUCGCGACACGCUGGAGGGGAUGAUAAGAAGAACGCAAGCGCGAACCUAUCGACCAGCUAACCCUCCGGGUAACACCCUUGCGAUCCUCAGCCGAAGCUCACUGCUUCUCCGGCGAACUAGUGGGUAGUACACGCACGCGACACAGAUUUCAACUUGGAUUGUUUAGUUUCUCCUUCCUCACCUCUCUUAUUUCAUCCUUUCCUUUUGGAUUACCUUACGUUGAAGUGUUAUUUCACAACUUGGGAAAAAAAAGGGCACAACAAAGAGACGAAUCGAUAGUGAACGUCGUCGAGCAAGCCACAAAGCCCAAGACACGAAAUCUCCGCCUCCAUCUCCCGUUCCUAAGCCGCUCGAAGAAGACGAAGAUCGUCGCAUACGGUGACCAUCCGACCACCAAAAGCCACCGGAAUUCUGCGGUUUUGGUCAGGAGGACGAGGUCGGUGUUAAACCAGCAAGAUUACCGGCCGCGGCGGUUGCGCCAAAUACUGUGGUACAGCCCCUUCACCCGGCAACAUUUCAUUCUCCAGCUUUCGACAGUCCUUCACUUCCAAUGUUAACUACCUGAAACGGAG
rnacentral:misc_RNA from 1 species